UCAGGACACGGUAAGGAUUGACGGACUGAAGGCUCUUUCUCGAUUCCGUGGAAAGUGGUGCAUGGCCGUUUUGGUGGUGGAUCGAUCCGUCUGGUUAAUUCCGUUAACGAACGAGACCUCGGCACUCCGAAUAGCGCGGCGGACGUCGCGGCCUCCGGGCCGUCUUCCGCACGAGCUUCUUAGAGGGACGUCCCCCCGCCGGGGAAGGAGGUGCGAGGCAACGACAGGUCUGUGAUGCCCUUAGAUGUUCUGGGCCGCACGCGCAUUACACUGACGCGUCCAACGGGUGACUCCCGACCCGAAGGGGCCGGGGAAUCCGCAAGGCGCGUCGUGAUGGGGAUUGAACGUUGCAAUUGUUGUUCACGAACGAGGAAUUCCUAGUAGGCGCGGGUCAUCAACCCGCGCCGAUUACGUCCCUGCCCUUUGUACACACCGC
rnacentral:rRNA from 1 species